GGGGACAAUCCUCGCUUGCAGACGCUGCCUUCUGGCGUGACCUCAGGAGACCCGAUGCCCAUCUGAAGACAAACAUGGUUCCUGCUGGAUCCCUUCCUUUUCCAGAAUUUCCUUCAUCUCUCAGAGGCUCGUUUGCCCUGCCUGCCGUGGAGGGACAGGCCGACAUUCAGAAGCUCAACCACCCCAGUCCCUCUCUUACACUGAUGGAUGGGGUGGCCCUCCUGGGAGUCACUCUCAGGCCAACAUUGAUGGCAAGGCAGCCGGAGGUCCUGAUUCCAGAAAUGCCCAAACUUCUUAUUAAAAGAUCCUUGAUUAGGCAGUGAGCUACUGGUGUGCUACAGAUACCAGUUCACAAGAUCCAACCGUUAAAUUUUCAAGAGUUUUGCCAGCUGGUUGUUGAACAGAAUCAUUAUUAAAAAUGAAAUUAUGGGGCACCUGGGGGGCCCAGACGUUUAAGCAUCUGACUUCAGCUCGGGUCAUGAUCUCCCAGUUCGUGAGUUCAAGCCCCUCAUCAGGCUCUGUGCUGACAGCUCAGAGCCCACUUCAGAUCCUCUGUCUCCCUCUCUCUCUGCUCCUCCCCUACUCACGUUCUCUCUCUCUCUCAAAGAUAAAUCAACAUUUUUAAGAAAUGAAAUUAUGUAGGGCACAUGGUGGCUCAGUCAGUGAAAUGACUCUUGAUUUUGGCUCAGGUCGUGAUCUCGCGGUUUGCUUAGGGGGUCGAGCCCCACAACAGGCUGGGCACUGACAGCGCAGAGCCUGCCUGGGGUUCUCUCCCUCUCACUUGUGCUCUCUCUCUCAAAAAUAGAUAAACACUUUGAAAAAGUUAAAUUAGGUUAUAAAAUUACACGCACCGUGCUCCGGAGGCUGCGAAUGCCUGUUACGUGGUGGAAAUACUACCGGAUGGCAGCUGUUUGCACGUCUUCCCACCGUGGAACGUUUGCGCCGUGGAAAUUGGCAAACGCUACACACUCCCCCGUUUCAUUUCCAGCGGGAUGUCAGGCACUUACCAGCACACGGGUGCUGUGAAGCUCAGUCUGAAAGCCCCCCCUCCCCCCACCGCUAGCUGGCUUCCUCCCCUCCCAUUCCACCUCGUGCUUGAUGGUGAAGAGACUUAAGGAAGGUUGCAGGAGUGGCUGGGCCAGGACCAACGAGUGUCCGAGCAGGAGGGGUGCCCUCUCUGUUCACUCUAGGUCCAGUGCUGUACCCGAAAGUCCUGCCUCUCCUCUGUCCCCCCACAUUGCAGGUGAGGGUGCCGGCAUGCAGCUGGGCUGUGAGGCUCUGGGGCUGGAAGCGGAAACUUCUCCCAUCCAGGGCUGAUCGCCCCUCUGGAGCUGAGGGCGUGGAGGGUGGGGAGUAGGUCCCAGGACCCGCAGGCAGCCAGACACUGGUCUUCUUGCUUAGGCAGCUGGCGCUCAGCCCAGGGUGGGGUUCUGGGCCCGGGGGGCAGUUGUGGGGACUCAGCACCCAGCUCUCCCAGACCUGGUGGGUGAAAACAUCUAAGUUCAGUUUGCAGCAAUAAACAGAACAUUAAUCUGCA
rnacentral:lncRNA from 1 species